rnacentral:rRNA from 1 species
AGCAGCCGCGGUAAUUCCAGCUCCAAUAGCGUAUAUUAAAGUUGUUGCAGUUAAAAAGCUCGUAGUUGAAUUUCGGGAUUUGUCAGUUGGUCGGGCUUCACUGUCCGUAUUGACUUGAUGGAUUCUUACCUUCUGAAUAACCAGCAUGCUAUUAAGUUAGUGCGUUGGGGAAGCAGAUCUAUUACCUUGAAAAAAUUAGAGUGCUUAAAGCGAGCUAGUGCUUGAAUAGAUUAGCAUGGAAUAAUAAAAUAGGACGGCAUGGUUCUAUUUUGUUGGUUUCUAGGAUCACCGUAAUGAUUAAUAGGGAUAGUUGGGGGCAUUAGUAUUCAAUUGUCAGAGGUGAAAUUCUUGGAUUUAUUGAAGACUAACUUCUGCGAAAGCAUUUGCCAAGGAUGUUUUCAUUAAUCAAGAACGAAAGUUAGGGGAUCGAAGACGAUCAGAUACCGUCGUAGUCUUAACCACAAACUAUGCCGACUAGGAAUCGGACGAUGUUAAUUUUAUAAUGACUCGUUC